rnacentral:lncRNA from 1 species
CUUGGCUGCCUCCAUGUCUCACUGUGGUUUUAUAUCCCCUGGCUUUUUGGCAGAAACAAAACUUUUAGAUUUGUCCUCAACUGAAAAUGUUUCAGCUGUGUGUGCAGGCGUCUUCAUGCUAUAGAAGAAGGAAUGGAACUGUGAAUGGUGGGAAAGGCUGAAGGAAGUAAUGGAGACCACGAUGCAGAAGUAGGUGCUCUUGCAAAGCAGUCCCGGGACAGAUAAAGGAAGCAAAGGCAGAGAACCCCAACGCCUUGUAAGGACACCUGCGGCUCCAGGUCAGAGAUGCACCUGCUAGUCCUGCCUCUACAGGACCCAACCCAUCAGUUCCUAGCUUGUCCUUCUGGUGAGAAUUGAGCACACUAUACUGUGGACAUAAAGACAAAAACCAGCAAGAAACUGAGCUCGGCUCCCUGGCUCACAUAGACAUGGAACAGAGAUCACAUCUGUGAGUGGAGGAGCCAGACUUUUCAUAUAAGCACAUGUAAAACUUUUGAAGUUGGCUGAUCCAAGAAUAGAUUCAAAUUCUUCAGCCAAGAGUCUAGACCAACUGACUUUUUCCACUUCAUUGCCUAGUUGACCCUUUGGGCCCGGAGCUCACGCACGCAGUUGAAGAUGUCCACCACCCCUUCAUUCUCGGCCAUGUCAAGCAUGGUGUCAAUGGCAAUGAAGCAGCCAGUCCGCCCAGCCCCAGCACUGGAAGAGAGCAAAUGGGUUGACGGAUGGAAGCAAAGAAGGAGAGGAGAGAGAACAGAGGGGAGAUGAAUGACAGGACAGAAACGAGAGUCCUCUGAGCUGUCCCCAAGACAGAGAGUGGUUGGUGGAGCACCACGUUCAAAGGCCGGCAUCUGGCUCCACCUGCAGCUGUUUUCGCAGGAUCGUGAAGCAAGAGUGUCAUGAAACUGGAGCAGCUGACCGUCCGGAGACCCUUGUCAGGGAUCAAGUUUCUUGAUACAUACUUACUUGAUUUCUGGUCACUAGUGGCUUCUUUAGGAGAAUCUCAGACCAAGUAUAAAAUGGUAGGGGAACUCAACGAGACUCUAUGGGCCUUGGCCAGCCCUUUCUAGAUCAGUGCUGGGCUCUGAAACAUCAGUGCUGACCAAGAGGCACGUAAGACAUGUGCCUUACACAUGUGCAGUUUUGGAUGGGAAGGCCGGGCAGCCUGUCAAGGAGGCCCCCUUCCGCUGCGUUUUCACAUCUUGCCUUUCUCAUGGAAACAAGUGUCUUUGUCUAACAAUGUAGAUGUCAAAAGACACACAAAGAGGAAGAGAGAUGGAACAAGACAAAAAAGCAAUAUUGGCUCAUGGUAAAUCCAAGGGGCACAGGCCAGUGCGGACCACUACCUACAACAAUUUGGAAAGUACACCCAUUGGAAGCAGAGUCUUCAUUCAUGAGAAACUUUCAUGGUUUGAAUGAAGUCUGACUUAAGUUUGCUUCAGAACCUACUCCCCAAAAUCCAGAUGCGGGGACUCAAGAGACUUGGCCUCUGUGUCUGGGAGGGAGUAUAGGGGGGGUCACUCGUGUUUUUUUCUUCAAUGUUCAUAUUCACCAUGCUUUAGUAUAAAGAAUCAGCCCAAUUUGGUUCCAAAUUUUGGAACAACUAUCAAUCAAUCAGCGGUGACCAAGUUGCCUAGUGUCCGUUUGUUUGUUAGCUUCAGAUUUCUGAUGCUUUUAACAUACCUCCCUGCAGGGUCCUUGUGAGGACAAAGCUGUGUUUAUUUCAUUUCAGCAUCACAUAGUAAUUGAACACAGGAUAUUUGAAAAGACCCCCUAGGAUUAAAUCCUGGCUCUAUUACUUAUUAGCUGCAUGACCUCGGGCAAAUGACUUAACCUCUCUGGGUUUCAAUACUCAUCUAUAAAAUGAUGUUGAUAAUAAUUAAAAUACUCACUCAUCUAUAAAAUGAUGUUGAUAAUAAUUAAUAGAUCCACCUCACAGCAUUAAUAGCACAAUAUGUAUAAAUUGGAUGAAA